rnacentral:rRNA from 1 species
GACGAACGCUGGCGGCGUGCUUAACACAUGCAAGUCGAACGAAGUGGCGAACGGGUGAGUAACGCGUAAUCAACCUGCCCUUCAGAGGGGGACCACAGUUGUAAACGACUGCUAAUACCGCAUACUGAAGGUGGGGAUUGCGUCUGAUUAGCUAGUGGGAGGGGUAACGGCCCACCAAGGCGAUGAUAAGUAGCCGGUCUGAGAGGGUGAACGGCCAAAUGUGGACUGGGACACGGCCCAGACGUCUACGGGAGGCAGGAGUGGGGAAUCUUUCGCAAUGGACGAAAGUCUGACGGAGCAACGCCGCGGGAGGGAUGACGGCCUUCGGGUUGUAAAGCUAGGUUAAGCGGGACGCGGUACCGGAAUAGAAAGCCACGGCUAACUACGUGCCAGCAGCCGCGGUAAUAC